UGUUAAUAAUAAGUUAUGAUUGAGUGAGUUGUUGUGGUAGUCGCGUAAAUUAGAAACUUUUUCGAACUUGUUAAAAAAAUCAAAUUGGAUUUCUUUGUUUUGGACUUGUAAGAAAUAUUCAGAACCACCUUCAGAUUUAUGGAGUGAGAAUAAAAUGACUUUCUCAAAAAAAAUGGUGGACGAAUAUUUUGUAAAGGAGUUAUUUGAAAUUUGGAGUACCAUUUGAAAUUGGGUCUUAUCUGGAGUUUCAUUUUUAAAUUCAUACCUUUUAUGGAGUUUACAAAAAAAUGUUCUGGAUUCAUUUGAAUGUGUUUGAGUACUAAUUACCAAAAACUAUUAGCAAACGGAAAUAAGUAAAGUCUAAAACAAUCCAAGACCUACUGGGCUCACCCAUUCUUUUAUCUCGCUAUUUUACGCACGCGCGCACGAGCAAACUGCCCAGUGUGGCGCAUCUAGCUGGAGUCAGCCCAUCUUUUUCCUAACUGUUUUUUUUCCUUUCCCUUGGGCCUAUUUUCUCCCACUAAAGCCAUCCCGAAGUGAAAGCCCACGCACUAGUGGUCGUCUUCCUCCUCUGUUCUGUACGUGAACAUGAACAGAACCUGCAGAACCUCCACAUUCAUGACUUCCACCUCUUCCUCUCCCUCUAGUGCUAACCACAGACAUCCUUUCGACUUUUCACCAAUACGAAAAUUAAAGAGGAAUGUCAGGAGAACUCAUUCAGGAAAUUAAAACUCAACUUCGUUGCUUUAAUUGAACGAACGGAUCCGUGAAACGUUCCUGCACAAUCAGCCAUUAAAGGCCACGGUGAGCUCCCUUGAUCUCCCCAUAUCGACCCUCUCUUCCCCUAUAAUUAGGACCCCGGAAAGCACAACAUAUCUCACCAUCCCUAAGCCAGAAACCCCUCUCUGUAUCGCUCUCCUACGCGAGCAAUUGCUCGCCGGAGUUCAACAAUAGCAUCAAAGUCCGACAAGGAUUCCGUCGCGACCGAGCCGGAGCACGAGUUCUUCGUUGUCCGCUUUCGGCUGGAGUUGCGCCCAACUCCGGCGACAUCUAGCAGCCACCUGAAGGCGAACCAGGAGCCGACGUCGUGUUCUGGAGACUCACCCCGACUUCCUCUCCCUCGUUGCCGGAGAUCACCGCAUCACCUCACGUCCGAGCCGCCGCUGCCGGCCAUCUCCAUCUCCGAUUGCGACGAGUGCGAAGGUGAAUUCCACGAGGAGGUAGAACCUUGUGACUACGAAACUGAAGGCA